CCUACGGGAGGCAGCAGUGGGGAAUAUUGGACAAUGGGGGGAACCCUGAUCCAGCCAUGCCGCGUGUGUGAAGAAGGCCCUCGGGUUGUAAAGCACUUUCAGUGAGGAAGAACGCCUGGUGGUUAAUACCCAUCAGGAAAGACAUCACUCACAGAAGAAGCACCGGCUAACUCCGUGCCAGCAGCCGCGGUAAUACGGAGGGUGCGAGCGUUAAUCGGAAUUACUGGGCGUAAAGCGCGCGUAGGUGGCUUGAUAAGCCGGUUGUGAAAGCCCCGGGCUCAACCUGGGAACGGCAUCCGGAACUGUCAAGCUAGAGUGCAGGAGAGGAAGGUAGAAUUCCCGGUGUAGCGGUGAAAUGCGUAGAGAUCGGGAGGAAUACCAGUGGCGAAGGCGGCCUUCUGGACUGACACUGACACUGAGGUGCGAAAGCGUGAGUAGCAAACAGGAUUAGAUACCCCAGUAGUC
rnacentral:rRNA from 1 species